UGGGGAAUUUUGGACAAUGGGCGAAAGCCUGAUCCAGCAAUGCCGCGUGUGUGAAGAAGGCCUUCGGGUUGUAAAGCACUUUUGUCCGGAAAGAAAUCCUUGGCUCUAAUACAGUCGGGGGAUGACGGUACCGGAAGAAUAAGCACCGGCUAACUACGUGCCAGCAGCCGCGGUAAUACGUAGGGUGCAAGCGUUAAUCGGAAUUACUGGGCGUAAAGCGUGCGCAGGCGGUUUGCUAAGACCGAUGUGAGAUCCCCCGGGCUCAACCUGGGAACUGCAUUGGUGACUGGCAGGCUAGAGUAUGGCAGANAGGGGGUAGAAUUUCCACGUGUAGCAGUGAAAUGCGUAGAGAUGUGGAGGAAUACCGAUGGCGAAGGCAGCCCCCUGGGCCAAUACUGACGCUCAUGCACGAAAGCGUGGGGAGCAAACAGGAUUAGAUACCCUGGUAGUCCACGCCCUAAACGAUGUCAACUAGUUGUUGGGGACUUCAUUUCCUUAGUAACGUAGCUAACGCGUGAAGUUGA
rnacentral:rRNA from 1 species